AUUGAACGCUGGCGGCAGGCCUAACACAUGCAAGUCGAACGAGUGGCGGACGGGUGAAUAAUGUCUGGGAAACUGCCUGAUGGAGGGGGAUAACUAAUGGAAACGGUAGAUAAUAACGCAUACCAUCGGAUGUGCCCAGAUGGGAUUAGCUAGUAGGUGGGGUAACGGCUCCCCUAGGCGACGAUCCCUAGCUGGUCUGAGAGGAUGACCGGCAACACGGGAACUGAGACACGGUCCAGACGCGUACGGGAGGCAGAAGUGGGGAAUAUUGCACAAUGGGCGGAAGCCUGAUGCAGCAAUGCCGCGUGAAUGAAGAAGGCCUUCGGGUUGUAGAGUACUUUCAGCGGGGAGGCGUUACCCGCAGAAGAAGCACCGGCUAACUCCGUGCCAGCAGCCGCGGUAAUUC
rnacentral:rRNA from 1 species